AUGCGCAAAAGGCUUUUCAUUAUGAUACGGCUCGGUCUGUUUUCUAAAAAGUUAGCUUUCACAUUUUCAAACUCUUAAAUUGAAUGACUACAUUUUUGUAUGUGGUUACAUACGACUUGCAUGGACGGAUCAUGAGACAAUGGACCCCUGGGCACAGAUAUGCAAAGAGCCCCACCACCUCUCCUGCAUAGGAGCAAGACACACCUUUGUUGUGGGGGCAGAACUCCACUUCAGGCAAAAAAUCUUCAUCCAUUGUUCCUCCUGAGACCCAGAAAAAAAAAGUUUUAAUGUUUUACUAUACAAUUUAAGUCAUUGGUAGGUAAGUCACAUAAUACAAUGCUCUCUUUAAUCAUUUAUUUAUGUUUUAUAACAUGUCCCUUGUAGUAGACAUUGGGUCAAUCUUUUCCAAAAAAAAGCCUAGAAAUGGUUAGGACAGACUAGAAAAGUACUAUAAUCGGUCAAGGUAAACUCACACACACUCAUGGAAACCUAGUCUGUAUGACACUGUCAUACAGACUAGACAGUUCAUCAAGAUUAAUAAGAUGGGAAAUGACUAACACAUAAAGUUGUAUCAGAAAUUAUCCAUGAUUAGUGAUUGAUGAUAU